UCCUUCUCUGAUGCGUGCUCUCUUCGAUCCGUAAUGGCGCCGCCGUCGCCAGCGGAUAGUCUUCUUCUCCGGCCACCAUCCGUCGCCCUUUUCUCCUUCCCCUCCCCAUCCGGCCUUAAUCUUCUCCGGCGUCACCCGUAGCCUUCUCAAUCCCCAACCUCCGCUCUCUGAUUUGGAUCGAAGUUGGAUUUGGAUCAAAGUUAGAGUCCGUGUCCUUCUCCAGCACAAAGCCAUGGAGCAACUUGGCUGCCAUAAGAAGGAAGGAGCCUCGACCGGAAUCUCUAUCAGGUUGCGUCGCCAGAACCUCCAUCGAGCUCCGCCGAGUUCGCCGGCUGAAGAAGAACAUCCGUCAAGUCGUACAAUGUCGCCUCCGCUGAGUUCGCCGGAGGAACAACAUCCGCCGUCCGAACGUGCUUCACCAGAGGUAUGCAUCCCCUAAAUAUAAUCAGUUGAUAGAAGCCUCUGAUUCAGUUUACGUUUCUGAUUGCUGCCACUUCCGAUUGCUCUUGUUCAGUUUAUUGUUUCUGAAUUGACCAGUAGAUAAAAGCCCCUGAAAUCUGACCCACCUAUGUAUUGGCCAGAAGAAGCCCCUGACUUUGUGUUAUGCACCAAGAUGGCUUAGCAUCAGAUGUUUCCUGUGUCAAUUUCUACUUUGUUUUAUGGAACAAUUUGUUUCUGAAUUGGUCCGUAGAUAGAAGCCCAUGAAAUCUGACCCAUCUAUUGACUGGUAAAUAGAAGCCCCUGAUUUUGUGUUAUACACCAAGAUGGCUUAGUGCCAGAUGUUUCCUGUGUUAAUUUCUACUUUGUUUUAUGAAACAAUUCAUACAAUGGUGCACAAUAUGGCAAAAAUAUAUAUGCAGUAAUGAUUUAUCUUGAUAGAGAUGCACUGGAUUAGCAAGUAGUUUUAGUUUUUUUUUCUAGAAGAUAGCUCAAGUACUUAAGCUUCCGCAAUCAUGAAACAAAAGGUGUCCUGCAGCUGCUCAACCUAAUUAAGUAACUAAAAUAAAAGCGAACAAUAGUCAGGUUCUAUUAGCUUCACAUCUAUUAACCUAUAUCUUGAUAUAGAUACACUGGAUUCGCAAGUAGUUUUAGUAUUUUUUCUAGAUAGCUCAAGUAUUAAGCUUCUGCGAUCAUGAAAAACAAAAGAAGGUGUUCUGUCCGCUGAUCAAGCUAAUUAAGUAACAAAAAUAAAAGGGACCAGAGUCAGGUUCCAGUAACCAAAUGCUUCACAUCUAUUAACCUGUACUCAUAUUAGUCCAACGUUGUUCGGUAUUGCUUGGAGAUUUUCCCUUUUUUACAAAUCAAAAACAUUAUGUGUAACCUGGGCGUGUACUAAAGUUGCAUGUACUUUUUAAUAACAAACUUGCUAGAGGAAGCAGAUUUGGGGCUGCGCUCUGGUCUGCGGCGAGCUGGAUAGGGGAAGCAUUUAAUCCGAUCAAGGCCACCAACUAGACAAGAAGAAUCGAAUAACUCUUUACUGAUUACCAUGGGAGGCAAGCCAAAAUCUGACAGCGAGCACAGCUAUUGUGGUGCCUGGUUGCAUCCCUUGGUAAUUAUUUUAAUCUUGCUUUGGUGGUGUAUCCGUCGAUCUAGAGAAUAUUAUUCUGCAUUAUUUUCAACUGUUACUUUUUAUCUAUUUGCCUUAUGGCCGUUUGGUUAUCACUCAAAAAGAGGCCCAACAAUCUCUUUUGGGGACUUCUUAUCACCACGUAUAUGAUCUUAUUGAACUACAUCAAGAACUACAAUCCCCAAAAGGUCAUAUAUGCUUGAUGUGCAUGAACAUAUGGUGUAUCUUUAACACCAUUCAUUUUCAACCACUAAAAUAGUAAAAGUUGUUUGAUUGGUAGAUUAUUUUUUAGUUUUCUAAACAAAUUUAUUUGAGCACAAGGUUUCUAGACACAUUUUUGUAGAUCAGAUGUACACUUGGUCAGCACUAAAGCUCUCCAAAGAUCUUCAUAUUUUGCAAACAAAACUCCCAAAUCGAGAGGAGAUAACAAACACCAGUACAGCUAUGUUUCCAUUGUAUGAGUAGCCUCUGCAACCAGCCAACUGAAGGAUGUGGCAGCUCACGUAAACAUUGUGGUUAAUAUCAUACGGCGGACUGUUCGGUGCCCCUAAGGUGCCAACUCCUUCAGGUCCAUAUUGCCCAUUAAAGUCGGACACAACGGAGCACAUAUCUUCCUUGCCUUUCUACUUUGAUGCAGGUGGAGCAUCUAAUAAGAAUUUAUCUCUACCAGUUUCAUCAGCAAAUUGCUGGUCUUCAUGGAUAAUAAGCAGAUCUGAUUCUUCUAAUGAAGCAUUUCAUAGCCUAACUUCAGUGUCAUGCUUGAAGCCAUCAGAAUCUGAACCAGUUUCUGACUAAUUAUAAUCAUCCUAUCAGCAAGGCUCUCCAUACAAAAUUUGUUUUUAUCUGAAGACAAGGGAUCAUCAAUAGAACAAUUGUAUUUCCUAGCUCUAGCACCCCUCUGCUGAUUUCUUUGAUUUGUUCUUGUCAGUACCACCCCGGUGGUAUUUUCCCCUGGAAUGCCUUAAACUUCUAUGGGAGUGUGAAGAUGAAUGGUGAGAACUUUUUAUCUCUGAAAUGUUUUGAUUCAUCUUCUCUGUAUUUUCUGUGUUGCAAGAAGAAUCAUCUCUGUCAUACUCCACGACAUCAGAUGUCUAGAUUUCUUGUGAUUACCUAUUGUCAAUAUCUAGCAUUUCAUCUUCAGAUACAGAUGAACCCUUUUUACAGACCUUUCCUCUUGCGAUUACCCAUUGUCAAUAUACAGAUGAAUGGCAACAACAUAAGUAUCUGCAUUCUCAUCUUCCACUGCGUCCUUUACAGACCUUUCAUCUAUACAACCUCCAUCAGAUCUUUUUUUUGGGCGUCGGCGCUACGCGUCUAUCAAUGUAUGAUCUUUCUUUGUCAUCCUGCAUCUGGGAUUAUAAGAUUCAGAAGACUUUUGGAAGGUUUGGUGUUACCUAAUGUUAUUUUUCUUUCUUUAAUUAAUAUCUCUAUUGUUGGUCUGUCCCCUCUUACUUCUACAACUCUGAAAUUUUAGUUAGAUGCCACGGUUGUCAAAAGCAUUCAAACUGCAUCCUUUAAUAUUUUCAGCCAAGAUUAUUCAUAGCCUCCCCAAUUAUGUGUCUUUUGUUAUGGACGAUCUUUUUUUUUGUAGGGACGUCAUUGAUGAUCUUCAAGAGUAUGUAUUUUGACAAAAUUAUUGUUUAUUCCCGUUGCAACGCACGGGCAUGUUUCCUUUUUUUUUAAAUGGAACACUUGUAUUCCAUUACGACACGGCCAAAUCGCCGGUCACCGCACUGAUUACAUCUUCAGGGUAGCUUGUGAACCAUUCACAGUGUUCAUCAUGAGCUAAACCUGCACCCAUAGAAGCCAACACAUGUGCUGGCUUGUUACAAGAUCUUGGAACAUAGACUACAGAGGCCUCUAUAAAGAGUGCUAAGCUUGAACUUAAUAUCGCUGAACAUGAUUCCUAAGGGCGCCAGGUCAUAGGCUGUAGAUGUCACAGCUUGUUUGAGCACGAGGCAGUCUGUUUCAAAAACAACACGUCCAACACCCAAACGAUCAGCCAGAGAGAUGGCCUGUAGAAGAGCAUAAGCUUCAGCGUGAAGAGCAUCCGAGCAGUCAUGUUUUCCGCCAGCUGCUGCAAACCGGACAUCCGGCGUUUCAUCUCUGCAGAUAAUACCCCAACCACCUGCUACUGUUUGUUCACAAAAGGAUGCAUCCGUGUUGAUCUUGACCAAGUCAUUCGAUGGUUUCUCCCAUCUACAUUGCUGCACUAUUUCUGGUUUGGGUUUUGGCACCAGGAAUUCAAACCAUUCAUCAACAUGGUGCUUGACAGUAUACCUGAAGGCCUCAACCUCGAGUCUCUUCUCGCCAUGGUUACCUUUGUUUCGCUCCGACCAUCAGCACCACAGCAACGCCACUGCUAGAAGCAUACGUUCCCCCGGGAGGCUAAAGAUUACUGACAAGCACUCUUUGGGUGAAGCACAAUCUAGCAGCUUGACUCGGACGUCCUCUAGAAGCAGAGCACGUCAUCGUUGCUUGACAUGUUUCCUAGUAAUAAUAAUAAUAAUAAUAAUAAUAAUAAUAAUAAUAAUAAUAAUAAUAUAUACAUAUAUAUUAUAUGUUAAUAUUAAUAUUAUUUUUAAUAAUAAAGCACGGGUUGACUUUGCCGGGCUCACCGUCGCCUCCUUUUUACACAAAGGUCCGUGUGAUUUUUAUUUAUUGAACCCGCAGUCCCUAUUUAAGUGGAUAUCUAAGAAAACGUUUCAUUUUUACUGAAAGAACCCUGUGUUAUUUAGUAUUCAACCCGCAGUCACGCCCUACGUUAAAAACAACAGAGCUUCUACCUGUACGGAGCCGUCGAGGAGGAGGAGGGUUCCGGCGGCGGUCGUUGACGCGGGCUUGACGGAGAGGACGGGAUUUGGCGACGGCGCUCCGGAAAAAAAAGGUCACCUGCCUCCUCUCUUACCCCAUGCCUCCAGCGCUUCGCCUCGCUUUGCACCGGCGGCGGCCCACCCCGCCGUCCACCUCGCAUUGCCUCGCGCCGGUGGCGGCUGGUGGCAGGUCGACCUCCACCGCCCCUCUGCCCUUGCCCCCGCCCCCCGCGUGCACCAUCUAGCACCACCAACCCCGCUGCUCCCUCCCCUCCCCCAUCCCGAUCUAGAAGCCUAACCCGCCCCUCUCUGAGCACAGCGUGCUCCGACGGCGGCUCCUCCUGGCCAGAUCGAGGCACGGAGACCUGUGGGAUCCCCUCCUUCGGCAGGACCUCCUCAUCUGGUGAGAUCCCCUCCCCAUGUCUGAUGCCUCAAACCGUUCGGCAAGCACCACCAAGAUUUUUUUACUGAGUAAUUAAUGUAUUGAAUGCAAGAUUGCAUUCUUGCACGGACAGAGAGUGGAACACCACCUUCAGUUUCUCAUCUGAUCCCACUUCUGGACUCCAUGAAUGAAGUAAGAUAACAAUCCAUUGGUCAAUUACAUUGCCUCUUUAGAUGGUUUUAAGUGGGCAUCAGACUUGGUUUAGAUGGCCUUUGUUGUGAAAGAAAACUUAUCUUUCUAAAGACUGUACUCUGAAUCUUACAUCUCAUACUUGAUUUUUUUUUUGCAUAUUUUUUUAGGCCUGGUGAGUAUCCAAUGACAUGGGAAAUUAAAGAUUUGCAUGAGACUGACGAUUGUGAUUUUGGCCCUGUACUGAAUAAUUUUGGGAGUGACUGGGUGAUGAUGAUUACAAGCCAGGUAACUGAAUGAGUCCUUCGGCCGCUGGCUAGCUAGUUGUUCUUAUCUUACCAUUAUAUGUCUUCCUCAGUAUUGAUUUGUGAAUUAUUUCUUUUUUCAAACUAUGCAGGCGGACUGCAUGUGAUGAGUUAAGGCACAAGAACUACGACCAUUUUAGCUCCAGCAGUAAGUACACAACCAAUCAACAAUGCAUUUUCACGACCCAGGCUUCUGAAUUUUGACUGACAGGCUCGCUGGCACAGCCACAUAAUCUCGCGCAUUCAAAUUGCUAGCUACACGAAAUACGCCCAGAUCUACGAGUAGAAAUCCAAG
rnacentral:lncRNA from 1 species